rnacentral:lncRNA from 1 species
CUGCAGAACCCCAUCGAUCCAAACCCCCCAAAAACCAACCCAGAUCCCAGAAACCUGUUCGUUCAUACCCAUAAACUUGUUUGUUCAUCGUUCAGAAUCAGAAACCUGUAAAGAAGCACAACUGCAAAGUAAAUCUAAUUUACUUGAGACCUACAUGUCAAAGGCACACAAAUGAACAGUUCAAGUUCAAAGAUUCUUUGAAUAACUAGUAAAGAUAGUGUCUUUAGGAAAUGAUUUGAGAAAAUUGAAUUCUGGAAGAUAAAGAAGCAAAAAACCAAACUUGCUAAGUUGAAGAUAAUUGAAAAAAUCUCAGCUUUAAAUAUUCACCUCACACUCUCGCAGACUCCCCAGUCCCCAACAACAGAAAAUUUAGAGAAUGGAAACAGAGCAUAGGAAAAUGCUAACCAUGACCAAUAGUCCAAGCCAUUGACUGAAAAUCAAAGAUAUUACCACUUCAGAAUUUUGGUAAGUGCAAAUAAAAUUUCGAGGUAAGAAAAAAAAAAAGAAACUUUCACUUUGAGUUUAGCAGAUCUUGAGUAAAUAGAGAAUACCCAAAUUGAUAUUUUUCUUGGGGAGUUGGGAAGAGAAGAUAGGACAGUUAAUAUCUUUGGUAAAUUAAGAAAAUAAUGAGUAUGAGAGGGAUAGAGAGUACAAAAAUUACUCAGAUGCAGCAAAAAGUAUGAGAUUUACCAGAGGGAAAAUCUUGAGUUAGGAGACAGUGUUACUUCCAGGAUCUGAGCUAUGGAAGCAGUUACCAGCUAAUUCGCCACAUGUGCCUGUGACAUAUCUUUGAGUGUUUUGCAGUUGUGCCACAUGAUUUGAGUGCUUUUCUGGUCUGGGAAGCUUUAAUUAUUUGUUCUGCAUUACCAGUACCUGCGAGAAAGAAGAAGAGGAGAAAAAGAAACAAGAAAU